UUGUGAACAUAGCUGGAGUACGUAAGGAAAAGGAAAGGUUAACCGCUAUC
rnacentral:rRNA from 2 species